rnacentral:rRNA from 1 species
CCAGACUCCUACGGGAGGCAGCAGUGGGGGAUAUUGCACAAUGGGGGAAACCCUGAUGCAGCGACGCCGCGUGAGUGAAGAAGUAUUUCGGUAUGUAAAGCUCUAUCAGCAGGGAAGAAAAUGACAGUACCUGACCAAGAAGCCCCGGCUAACUACGUGCCAGCAGCCGCGGUAAUACGUAGGGAGCGAGCGUUGUCCGGAAUUACUGGGUGUAAAGGGUGCGUAGGCGGAUCGUUAAGUCAGUGGUCAAAUGGGGGGCCCAACCCCCUUCCCGCCAUUGAAACUGGCGCUCUUGAGUGGAAGAGAAGUAUGCGGAAUGCGUGGUGUAGCGGUGAAAUGCAUAGAUAUCACGCAGAACCCCGAUUGCGAAGGCAGCAUGCCGGCUUCCGACUGACGCUGAAGCACGAAAGCGUGGGGAUCGAACAGGAUUAGAUACCCCAGUAA